rnacentral:rRNA from 1 species
AUGCACGCUGGCGGCGUGCCUAAUCCAUGCCAGUAGAACGCUGAAGGAGGAGCUUGCUCUUCUGGAUGAGUUGCGAACGGGUGAGUAACGCGUAGGUAACCUGCCUGGUAGCGGGGGAUAACUAUUGGAAACGAUAGCUAAUACCGCAUGACAACAGUCAUUGCAUGAUAACUGUUUAAAAGGGGCAACUGCUCCACUACCAGAUGGACCUGCGUUGUAUUAGCUAGUUGGUGAGGUAACGGCUCACCAAGGCGACGAUACAUAGCCGACCUGAGAGGGUGAUCGGCCACACUGGGACUGAGACACGGCCCAGACUCCUACGGGAGGCAGCAGUAGGGAAUCUUCGGCAAUGGACGGAAGUCUGACCGAGCAACGCCGCGGGAGUGAAGAAGGUUUUCGGAUCGUAAAGCUCUGUUGUAAGAGAAGAACGAGUGUGAGAGUGGAAAGUUCACACUGUGACGGUAUCUUACCAGAAAGGGACGGCUAACUACGUG